rnacentral:tRNA from 1 species
ACCUGGGUGGCUCAGUCGGUUGAGCGUCUGACUUCAGCUCAGGUCAUGAACUCAGGUU